GACAAGAUGGCCGAGCUGUCUAAGGCGCUGCGGUCAGACCUCAUUCCAAUUUUCUAGGUGAGGGUUCGAAUCCCUCUUCUGACA
rnacentral:tRNA from 1 species